AGCGAACGCUGGCGGCAGGCCUAACACAUGCAAGUCGAACGAACCUUUCGGGGUUAGUGGCGGACGGGUGAGUAUCACGUGGGAACGUGCCUUUAGGUUCGGAAUAACUCAGGGAAACUUGUGCUAAUACCGAAUGUGCCCUUCGGGGGAAAGAUUUAUCGCCUUUAGAGCGGCCCGCGUCUGAUUAGCUAGUUGGUUGAGGUAAUGGCUCACCAAGGCGACGAUCAGUAGCUGGUCUGAGAGGAUGAUCAGCCACAUUGGGACUGAGACACGGCCCAAACUCCUACGGGAGGCAGCAGUGGGGAAUCUUGCGCAAUGGGCGAAAGCCUGACGCAGCCAUGCCGCGUGAAUGAUGAAGGUCUUAGGAUUGUAAAAUUCUUUCACCGGGGACGAUAAUGACGGUACCCGGAGAAGAAGCCCCGGCUAACUUCGUG
rnacentral:rRNA from 1 species